AUUGAACGCUGGCGGCAGGCCUAACACAUGCAAGUCGAACGGUAACAGGAAACAGCUUGCUGUUUCGCUGACGAGUGGCGGACGGGUGAGUAAUGUCUGGGAAACUGCCUGAUGGAGGGGGAUAACUGCUGGAAACGGUAGCUAAUACCGCAUAACGUCGCGAGACCAAAGAGGGGGACCUUCGGGCCUCUUGCCAUCGGAUGUGCCCAGAUGGGAUUAGCUAGUAGGUGGGGUAACGGCUCACCUAGGCGACGAUCCCUAGCUGGUCUGAGAGGAUGACCAGCCACACUGGAACUGAGACACGGCCCAGACUCCUACGGGAGGCAGCAGUGGGGAAUAUUGCACAAUGGGCGCAAGCCUGAUGCAGCCAUGUCGCGUGUAUGAAGAAGGCCUUCGGGUUGUAAAGUACUUUCAGCGGGGAGGAAGGGAGUAAAGUUAAUACCUUUGCUCAUUGACGUUACCCGCAGAAGAAGCACCGGCUAACUCCGUGCCAGCCGCCGCCGUAA
rnacentral:rRNA from 1 species